GGUUAAGCGACUAAGCGUACACGGUGGAUGCCCUGGCAGUCAGAGGCGAUGAAGGACGUGCUAAUCUGCGAUAAGCGCCGGUAAGGUGAUAUGAACCGUUAUAACCGGCGAUUUCCGAAUGGGGAAACCCAGUGUGACUCGUCACACUAUCAUUAACUGAAUCCAUAGGUUAAUGAGGCGAACCGGGGGAACUGAAACAUCUAAGUACCCCGAGGAAAAGAAAUCAACCGAGAUUCCCCCAGUAGCGGCGAGCGAACGGGGAGGAGCCCAGAGCCUGAAUCAGCAUGUGUGUUAGUGGAAGCGUCUGGAAAGGCGCGCGAUACAGGGUGACAGCCCCGUACACAAAAGCGCAUGUGCUGUGAGCUCGAUGAGUAGGGCGGGACACGUGGUAUCCUGUCUGAAUAUGGGGGGACCAUCCUCCAAGGCUAAAUACUCCUGACUGACCGAUAGUGAACCAGUACCGUGAGGGAAAGGCGAAAAGAACCCCGGCGAGGGGAGUGAAAAAGAACCUGAAACCGUGUACGUACAAGCAGUGGGAGCACCCUUUGGGGUGUGACUGCGUACCUUUUGUAUAAUGGGUCAGCGACUUAUAUUCUGUAGCAAGGUUAACCGAAUAGGGGAGCCGGAGGGAAACCGAGUCUUAAUUGGGCGUUAAGUUGCAGGGUAUAGACCCGAAACCCGGUGAUCUAGCCAUGGGCAGGUUGAAG
rnacentral:rRNA from 1 species